rnacentral:rRNA from 1 species
CACCUGAUCCCAUCCCGAACUCAGUAGUGAAACGAUGUAUCGCCGAUGGUAGUGUGGGGUUUCCCCAUGUGAGAGUAGGUCAUCGUCAAGA